GAUGAACGCUGGCGGCGUGCUUAACACAUGCCAGUCGAACGAGAAAUGUAGACGGAAACCUUCGGGCGGAAGCCUUCAUUUCGAGUGGCGGACGGGUGAGUAACGCGUGGGUAACCUGCCUCAUACAGGGGGAUAACAGUUGGAAACGACUGUUAAUACCGCAUAAGACCACAGCAUCGCAUGAUGCGGGGGUAAAAACUCCGGUGGUAUGAGAUGGACCCGCGUUCGAUUAGCCAGUUGGCGGGGUAACGGCCCACCAAAGCGACGAUCGAUAGCCGAUCUGAGAGGAUGACCGGCCACAUUGGGACUGAGACACGGCCCAAACUCCUACGGGAGGCAGCAGUGGGGAAUAUUGCACAAUGGGGGAAACCCUGAUGCAGCGACGCCGCGUGAGUGAAGAAGUACUUCGGUAUGUAAAGCUCUAUCAGCAGGGAAGAAAAUGACGGUACCUGAGGAAGAAGCCCCGGCUAACUACGUG
rnacentral:rRNA from 1 species